CUUUGAUCCGGAGAUUUCUGAAUGAGGAAACUCACUUGGAGUAUUGUCCAAGUAUCCAUAGGUGAUUACAUAGCCUAUGGAGGGGAACUCAGGGAACUGAAACAUCUAAGUACCUGAAGGAAGAGAAAGAAAUUCGAUUCCGCUAGUAGCGGCGAGCGAACGCGGAAGAGCCCAAACCAAGUCAGUUUACUGAUUUGGGGUUGCGGACAUAUCUUAAGGAAAGGUUAUUGCGAGUAGAAUAGGUCUGGAAAGACCAACCAUAGAGGGUAAUAGUCCCGUACACAAAGCCAAGAAAGUUCUUGAUAUGAUCCAGAGUACCACGAGACACGUGAAACCUUGUGGGAAGCAGGGGGGACCACCCCCCAAGGCUAAAUACUACCUAGUGACCGAUAGCGAAUAGUACCGUGAGGGAAAGGUGAAAAGAACCCCGGGAGGGGAGUGAAAUAGAACCUGAAACCCUACACUUACAAGCUGUGGGAGCGCAUUAUUCGCGUGACCGCGUACUUUUUGUAGAACGGGCCAACGAGUUACGUUA
rnacentral:rRNA from 1 species